AAAAAUGGGAAGAGCUUUCCAGAAAGCUCAAUUCUGUGGGGGCAGGGUGUAUUAAACCUUCGUGGAGUGGAAGCGAAUUCCUGACCUGCCUACUCAACCAAGUACAUCUACAUGUACAUCACCAAUACGAGAAAUCAUUAUUGAUGAGCAGCUUAGUGACAACUAUACAACAAACAGAGGAGCCUUCACAAAUAGAAGCUACACAUAACCCGCUACAUAUUUCACUAGCAUUAGAAGUUUCUCAGUCUGUCUAUCAUGUUGAUACUGAGAUACCAGAAGUUAGCACACCAACCAGCACACAGCACUGUCAGCCUUUAAGAAGUAAUAAACUUAUCCAAAUAUAUUUGUAACCUUUUCAUAGCCAUUGUUCACCUAACAACUAACAUUUUUAAAUUCCAUUAAUAACAAGAUAUUAAGAUAAGCCUUUAUUAACUGAAUUGAAUUACAUUAAUGCUAUGUACAUAAUAUAUUUCAAAUAAAUAAAUAAUAUUUUAGUUUU